GGUUGUGGCUCAGUGGUAGGGUGCUUGCCUAGCAUGUGUGAGUCCCUGGGUUUGAUCCUCAGCACCA
rnacentral:tRNA from 1 species